rnacentral:rRNA from 1 species
CUGGCAGCUUGCUGCCGGGGUGAGAGUGGCGAACGGGUGAGUAAUGCGUGACCGACCUGCCCCAUGCACCGGAAUAGCUCCUGGAAACGGGUGGUAAUGCCGGAUGUUCCACAUGAGCGCAUGCGAGUGUGGGAAAGGCUUUUUGCGGCAUGGGAUGGGGUCGCGUCCUAUCAGCUUGUUGGUGGGGUAACGGCCUACCAAGGCGUUGACGGGUAGCCGGCCUGAGAGGGCGACCGGCCACAUUGGGACUGAGAUACGGCCCAGACUCCUACGGGAGGCAGCAGUGGGGAAUAUUGCACAAUGGGCGCAAGCCUGAUGCAGCGACGCCGCGUGCGGGAUGGAGGCCUUCGGGUUGUAAACCGCUUUUGUUCAAGGGCAAGGCACGGUUUCGGCCGUGUUGAGUGGAUUGUUCGAAUAAGCACCGGCUAACUACGUGCCAGCAGCCGCGGUAAUACGUAGGGUGCAAGCGUUAUCCGGAUUUAUUGGGCGUAAAGGGCUCGUAGGCGGUUCGUCGCGUCCGGUGUGAAAGUCCAUCGCUUAACGGUGGAUCCGCGCCGGGUACGGGCGGGCUUGAGUGCGGUAGGGGAGACUGGAAUUCCCGGUGUAACGGUGGAAUGUGUAGAUAUCGGGAAGAACACCAAUGGCGAAGGC